ACAGAACUGAAGCUUGCAAUGAAUUGUUCAGCUGAAGUGUUUUUGAUGCCAGACUACCAGUAAAGUUUCUGGACAGUUGGAAGUAACAGUAACACAGAAUGGCUGGAGACUAUUAACUUAAAAACUGAAGAGAUACAGGUCUUUGUUCUAUAUGGUGAUUGGUGGAACUACGGUGCAGUGUUGAAUUUAUAAGGUGUGAAGUUACAGAAAAGCAGAAUAGCUACAGACCAUUAAAUUUAGAAAAUGAAGAGAUGCAUGUCUCAGUUCAGCAUCGUGUAUAUGGGAAACAUUGUGGGUCACAGACAUGAAAUGAUUUGUGUGAAGUAACAGUAAAGCAGAAUGGCUACAGACAAUUAGUUCAGAAUAGAAGAAGAGAUGCAGGUCUUUGUUCUAUAAAUUAUGGUGUAUGAGAGAACCAUGGUGGAAAUUUGGAUUUCAUGGCAGUCAUAGAAAUAUCUAAUAAGUCUGUUGGACAGUGAUGUGUGUACCAGUCUGUCAGACUAUUAUGUGUCUGUCCAGUUGAAAAAAUUCGCAGCGGAUGCUUAGUUUCUCACAUAAUUUGGCAGAAUUUUCACACAAGACAGAUUGCAAAAGACUUUAGUACCCAAAAACCUGAAAUGAGAAUGCUUUGACGAUAUAAAGUUUUUCGCAUAGACGGGGAUUGGCCACCUCUGUAUAUAUAAGUCUACAACUGCUCAGAUUUGACCGAAGACAAUUGUUUGGUGUUGUGGAUGGAUGUGGUGUGGCUGCAGGCUUUCCAAUCACACAGAAGAUACUGGUUCUAUCACAAGAAGGGUCACAUCAAUUGAUAUUAGUCACUGGAAAAAUUCGGAGAACCAGUUGUAUAUGCUCAGGUUGAAAUUUAUUAAGAGAAAUAUAUGAGGUAGGGCUCUGCAGUUUUCCAUUAACACAACAAGAAGUUUACAUUUGUUGCACAGAGUUGAAGGAAAUGUUAUAGGAAAAGUGUACAGAAUGUAAGGAUAUGAUAGCCAAACACCUUCCCCAGGAUUCCAUGCAGCAACCUUCUGAUAGAAAGAUGUACCUGUUGUGCAGAGGGGAUAAGCUGGCUUGGUGACAGGAAAAAGAAAAGGAAAAUGGCCCCAGGAAAGACAAGCUACAGUAGAUACAAGUUGCUAAGGACAAGAAUGUCUGUUAUUCAUGGAAACAUCAGAGUUCAGCAGGUUCUUGAAACAGGCCAUUUGAAAUCAGAGACUAUCAGUACAUUUUUGGUGAUCAUUUGAUGAGGCCAGUUGUAGUGUUUUAACAUGAGACAGGAAAAGUGAGUUUACAUUUUGCUAGAACA